rnacentral:rRNA from 1 species
UGGAAUUCCAUGUGUAGCGGUGAAAUGCGUAGAUAUAUGGAGGAACACCGGUGGCGAAAGCGGCUCUCUGGUCUGUAACUGACGCUGAGGCUCGAAAGCGUGGGGAGCGAACAGGAUUAGAUACCCUGGUAGUCCACGCCGUAAACGAUGAGUGCUAGGUGUUAGGUCCUUUCCGGGACUUAGUGCCGCAGCUAACGCAUUAAGCACUCCGCCUGGGGAGUACGACCGCAAGGUUGAAACUCAAAGGAAUUGACGGGGGCCCGCACAAGCGGUGGAGCAUGUGGUUUAAUUCGAAGCAACGCGAAGAACCUUACCAGGUCUUGACAUCCCGAUGCCCGCUCUAGAGAUAGAGCUUUACUUCGGUACAUCGGUGACAGGUGGUGCAUGGUUGUCGUCAGCUCGUGUCGUGAGAUGUUGGGUUAAGUCCCGCAACGAGCGCAACCCUUAUUGUUAGUUGCCAUCAUUCAGUUGGGCACUCUAGCGAGACUGCCGGUAAUAAACCGGAGGAAGGUGGGGAUGACGUCAAAUCAUCAUGCCCCUUAUGACCUGGGCUACACACGUGCUACAAUGGCUGGUACAACGAGUCGCAAGCCGGUGACGGCAAGCUAAUCUCUGAAAGCCAGUCUCAGUUCGGAUUGUAGGCUGCAACUCGCCUACAUGAAGUCGGAAUCGCUAGUAAUCGCGGAUCAGCACGCCGCGGUGAAUACGUUCCCGGGCCUUGUACACACCGCCCGUCACACCACGAGAGUUUGUAACACC